rnacentral:rRNA from 1 species
GGCUAGCGUUGUUCGGAUUUACUGGGCGUAAAGCGCACGUAGGCGGAUCGAUCAGUCAGGGGUGAAAUCCCAGAGCUCAACUCUGGAACUGCCUUUGAUACUGUCGAUCUGGAGUAUGGAAGAGGUGAGUGGAAUUCCGAGUGUAGAGGUGAAAUUCGUAGAUAUUCGGAGGAACACCAGUGGCGAAGGCGGCUCACUGGUCCAUUACUGACGCUGAGGUGCGAAAGCGUGGGGAGCAAACAGG